CAAUGGGGGAAACCCUGACGCAGCAACUGCCGCGUGAGUGAUGAAGGCUUUCGGGUCGUAAAGCUCUGUCAGGUGGGAAGAACCCACCAAGUGUUAAGACCACUUGGUGCUGACGGUACCACCGAAGGAAGCACCGGCUAACUCCGUGCCAGCAGCCGCGGUAAUACGGGGGGUGCGAGCGUUAUUCGGAAUCAUUGGGCGUAAAGGGCGCGCAGGCGGUUGUGUAAGUCAGAUGUGAAAUCCCGGGGCUUAACCCCGUAAGUGCAUAUGAAACUAUGAGACUUGAGUAUGGGAGAGGGCAGCGGAAUUCCUGGUGUAGCGGUGAAGUGCGUAGAUAUCAGGAGGAACACCGGUGGCGAACGCGGCUUCCUGGACCAAUACUGACGCUGAGGCGCGAAGGCGUGGGGAGCGAACAGGAUUAGAUACCCUGGUAGUCCAUGCAGUAAAGGUUGAUCAAUAGGUGUAGCGGGUAUAUGAGCCCUGUUGUGCCGGAGUUAACGCUUAAAGUGAUCCGCCAGGGGAGUACGAUCGCCAGGAUUAAACUCAAAGGAAUUGACGGGGGCCCGCACGAGCGGUGGAGCAUGUGGUUUAAUUAGACGCAACGCGAAGCACCUUACCUGGACUUGACAUCUCGGGAAUUCCAUUGAAAGACGGGAGUGCCUUGAACGAGGAAUCCGAUGACAGGUGACUGCAUGGCCAUCGUCAGCUCGCGUCGUGAGAUGUUGGGUUAAGUCUCGCAACGAGCGCAACGCCUAUCUUCAGUCACCAUCAGGUGAUGCUGGGGACUUUGGAGAUAGUGCCCCGGUUAACGGGGAGGAAGGUGGGGAUGACGUCAAGUCCUCAUGGCCUUUAUGUCACAGGGAUACACACGUGCUACAAUGCUAUGUACAAAGGGAAGCGAUCUCGCGAGGAAGAGCUAAUCACAAAAAGCAUAUCUAAGUUCGGGUCGGAGU
rnacentral:rRNA from 1 species